UUUCCGUAGGUGAACCUGCGGAAGGAUCAUUACAGAGUUCAUGCCCUCACGGGUAGAUCUCCCACCCUUGAAUAUUUAUACCUUAGUUGCUUUGGCAGGCCGUGGAACACCAUGGGCUCCGGCUUAUGCGUGCCUGCCAGAGGAAACAAACUCUGUUUUUAGUGAUGUCUGAGUACUAUAUAAUAGUUAAAACUUUCAACAACGGAUCUCUUGGUUCUG
rnacentral:misc_RNA from 1 species